CCCUCACCUUAUAUAACCUGCGACAUGUCAUUUAUUUAUUGUCAGGAUUUAUUUGUGUGCAAUCUUUGUUUUCAGUGCUGUCUUGACUUCCAUUGAGAGUCAAGUUUGCAGUAAUAUUUUUCAAAAUUGCUCACUUUUGUAUGAAUCAAUCAGCAUGAAUUAACUUAACUGUGUGAGAAAUGCUGAAACCCCAUUUUCCUCAUAUACCCGGACCCAUUCUGUGUGAGGGGGAAUAUUUAUCAGUUUAUUUAUUUACAUUACUACAUGUCAAAACUCUUCAUUUACCUCAUGCAUUUGAUUGGCUUAUAGGAGGCCAGAGCCAGUAUUGUAAUCAUUCAUCGGCAGUACGUCAUGAUGUCAUCUGCAAGACUCAGCUACAACCUGACCAAUCAAAAAUAAUAUUAAUCAGGGGGAAAACUCAACACAACAGAAUGUGCAGCAGCUAUAAACUGUGAGUAUUUCUUUGCUCUAGACACCUCUGUUGGAACAGUCCAAUGGAAACAGAAGGGUUCAAUCCCAGGCAUUUAUGUAGUCAAAUGUUGAUUUGAUGGCUUGUGUUGUUUUGACAUGAACCCAUUUGAAUGAUUCAUUUAGUAAAGCGUUACUACGAGUUGCGAUGUCCCAUGAGCAGGAUAAUGUGGUACGGGCAAUAGGUAAGGCCACGUGUAUUUGCACUGUACAAAGAACGACUAUAAUACACCCAGGUAAUUACUUUCCAAGCAAAUGUAGCUAAUUAAAUGUCAUCCCUAUAUACAUUCUUAUUUGACUUUUUCGCCAUAGACAUUGCCAACUUUGCCUUCGAAAUUUCUUAUUCGUACUUAACAAUACAGUGCCAUCAUAUCGCAUUGACCAUUUAAUUUUGUUUAUAUUGGCUCAUUGAAAGAAAACAGUUUGAUAUAUACACUGACAAAGUAUGCACAUGUGUGGGUGGAUAUUUAUUCUCACCCACUAUAUCAAUGACAACAACAUCUCAAAUGAGAACCAGUUAACAUCAUAUUUGAGUAUUUUUUUUGUCUGAUGAAAAAAUAUAGCACUGAAAUAAAAGAGCUGUACUGAACAUACUGUUCACUGUUACUACACCAACACGGAUACACUGAGUUAAGAUUUACACUUUUGAGAAGACACAAAAGUGAUAAUUCUUCUGUCUGCAAGUAAUGGAAACACAAAGCUUGAGGUCUGUCCAUUAAAGAAAAGCAAGUCGAGCACUGUUUCUAGACGAAAACGUGUGACGGACAGCAGUUCUCUCUCCUCUCUCUUUCUCCAUUUCGCUCUCAUACACUUUCUCUCUCUCUCUCUGUCGUUCUCUUCUCUUUGUCAUGGCAGGAGUGCAGAAGUCUUUGACAUGUUACUUUGGGUUCUUUGUCAGUUUUACUGAUGGAAAGACAGUCACAGCCAAUGGCCACUGAGGCUUCACCACAUGAGGGGUCCAUGUAAAGCCAUUUUCUUGAUCAUAGUGGUCCUCAAAAGCCAAAAUGUUACAUCAAAUAAAUAAUAUUUACUUUAUCUCCGAUUGUGUGCUCUCCGCCUCUCCUUUUUGAAAUAGCAUGAUGCCUGGGCUUGAAAAAUAAAACAUCCUCAAACAAGCCCCUUGACAACACCUCUGCGUUUGGGAUCAGCUUGAUGGUCGGCGACAGCCCACAGGGAGUUUUAUAGGGCAUGGUUUGCCACGGCGGAGGUCAGGCUGAGCAGCAGCACCCAGACACUGGCACAGACACAGGGUGCCCCAUCAUCAGGAGGACUCCUGGGUCUAGUCAGGCCAUCGUAACCACUGCUGGGCUCCAGUAUAGGCUGAGAGGAGGACAACAAAGGAAAAGGUUAGGAAUGACUCAGUGAGUCUGAGUGUUGUGUUUUACAGAGAAAUGGUAAAACACGGAUCCACAGCCACUCCACUGGAAUAAAAACAUGAAUACAUUUGAGGCACAUAUGAAGUAUGUUGAAAGCGACUGCUAGUGCAGUCUUUUGGGUGUACUUUCUGCUUUGAAAUGUUUUGGCACAGUGCAGAGCUAGCUAAGACAUUUCUCCCAAUACCGUUUCGGUAUUGGGAAUUAUAGAACAUGCAUAGCACAUAUGGGGUUAUCAUAAAACUACAAUUAAACAAGUCUCAAAUAGCUGCCCGGGGGGGAAUAUAAAGUGCAGGAAAUAUUUACUUUUUCUUGGACAAAUAUUUAACCCCUUAUUUGUGUUCCCUUAUUUGUGUAACCCCUUAACUAUCUCCAUACUUCCAUUCGUUUGUAUGGGUUACCGUCAGACGAGUCCCGUGACACUUGCGGGGGUCAUAGAGCAGAACAGAGCAAAAGCAGUGUGCAUUAAGGAAAUAGACCCCUGGCUCAAAUAGAAUCCUGUCUUUAAUAAGUGCCUGGUGUUUAGUGAUUUAAGCAAAUAAACACCCAGGCUAUUAAUUGAAGUUUUACAGUACUAAUUGGCUUCCUAGACAUUUGGAUACAUUUUAUUUCUGCACAAUAUCAGUCAAAACAUUGUACUUGUACACAUAUAGAUAUAGAACAUUUUACCAUAGACAAAAGCAGUCAAUAUGAAAGGCAACUAUGUUGUACAAUACAUUAGGAGAAAGGGUAGAAGGGACAUACAGAUGAAGAAUCCCACAACAGGAAAAUAAUCUUGCAGCAACAGGAAAUGGGAAUUAUUGUGUGGAUUAUAUAAAACAUUUGUAGCUUUUAAUACAUGGAAAUUAUGAACUUUAGAAGCCUUUUUACACAUAUAUGCUACAAAUGUAAAUUUCCUGCUGUGCAGGACAUUUCCUGCUACAACAGGGUGAUCAAAUUAAGAUACUACAUCUACAUCUCUAUUGUUCUAGAUAUUGUACACCCCAGAGUUGCUCUGUUAUGCCCACUCUACUAUGGCCUUAUUACAGUGAGGGAAAAAAGUAUUUGAUCCCCUGCUGAUUUUGUACGUUUGCCCACUGACAAAGAAAUGAUCAGUCUAUAAUUUUAAUGGUAG
rnacentral:lncRNA from 1 species